rnacentral:rRNA from 1 species
GUUGUAUGGUUAAGUGACUAAGCGUACAUGGUGGAUGCCUUGGCAGUCAGAGGCGAUGAAGGACGUACUAACCUGCGAUAAGCCGUGAGCAGUCGGUAAGAGACAUUACGACUCACGGAUUUCCGAAUGGGGAAACCCACUUAGCAUAAGCUAGGUAUCGCUGCGUGAAUACAUAGCGUAGCGAGGCGAACCGGGAGAACUGAAACAUCUAAGUACCCCGAGGAAAAGAAAUCAACCGAGAUUCCCUCAGUAGCGGCGAGCGAACGGGGAUUAGCCCUUAAGCAUCUUGGAAGUUAGUGGAACGGUCCUGGAAAGGCCGGCGAUACAGGGUGAUAGCCCCGUACACGAAAACAACCUUGAUGUGAAAUCGAGUAGGGCGGGACACGUGACAUCCUGUCUGAAUAUGGGGGGACCAUCCUCCAAGGCUAAAUACUCCUGACUGACCGAUAGUGAACCAGUACCGUGAGGGAAAGGCGAAAAGAACCCCUGUGAGGGGAGUGAAAUAGAACCUGAAACCGUGUACGUACAAGCAGUGGGAGCCCUUCGGGGUGACUGCGUACCUUUUGUAUAAUGGGUCAGCGACUUACAUUUUGUAGCGAGGUUAACCGUAUAGGGGAGCCGUAGGGAAACCGAGUCUUAACUGGGCGUCUAGUUGCAAGGUGUAGACCCGAAACCGGGUGAUCUAGCCAUGGGCAGGUUGAAGGUUGAGUAACAUCAACUGGAGGACCGAACCCACUAACGUUGCAAAGUUAGGGGAUGACCUGUGGCUGGGGGUGAAAGGCCAAUCAAACUCGGAGAUAGCUGGUUCUCCCCGAAAGCUAUUUAGGUAGCGCCUCGGACGAAUACUACUGGGGGUAGAGCACUGUUUGGGCUAGGGGGUCAUCCCGACUUACCAACCCCAUGCAAACUCCGAAUACCAGUAAGUAAUAUCCGGGAGACACACGGCGGGUGCUAACGUCCGUCGUGAAGAGGGAAACAACCCAGACCGCCGGCUAAGGUCCCAAAGUUCUGGUUAAGUGGGAAACGAUGUGGGAAGGCUCAGACAGCUAGGAUGUUGGCUUAGAAGCAGCCAUCAUUUAAAGAAAGCGUAAUAGCUCACUAGUCGAGUCGGCCUGCGCGGAAGAUGUAACGGGGCUCAAACCAGGCACCGAAGCCGCGGAUUCACGCUAAGCGUGAGUGGUAGGGGAGCGUUCUGUAAGUCUGCGAAGGUG